rnacentral:rRNA from 1 species
AUUGAACGCUGGCGGCAUGCUUUACACAUGCAAGUCGAACGAGUGGCGAACGGUUGAUUAUUAUAUCGGAACGUCCCGAGUAAUGGGGGAUAAUCCUUCGAAAGAUUGCCUAAUCCCGCUUAUUAUUCGAGCGGCCGAUAACUGAUUAGCUAGUGGUUGGGGUAAAGGCCUACCAAGGCGACGAUCAGUAGCGGGUCUGAGAGGACAAUCCGCCACACUGGGACUGAGACACGGCCCAGACUCCUACGGGAGGCAGCAGUGGGGAAUUUUGGACAAUGGGGGCAACCCUGAUCCAGCCAUGCCGCGUGUAUGAAGAAGGCCUUCGGGUUGUAAAGUACUUUUGUCAGGGAAGCGGUACCUAAAGAAUAAGCACCGGCUAACUACGUGCCAGCAGCCGCGGUAAUAC